CCCUUAGAUGUUCUGGGCCGCACGCGUGCUACACUGAGUGGAUCAGCGGGUCAGGUUGCGCGAAAGCGUUUCCUAAUCUUUAAAUCCGCUCGUGAUGGGGAUUGACGGUUGCAAUUUUCUGUCAUGAACGAGGAAUACCUUGUAAGCGCGGGUCAUCAUCCCGCGCUGAAUACGUCCCUGCCCUUUGUACACACCGCCCGUCGCUCCUACCGAUUGAGUGGUCCGGUGAGGCUUUGGGAUCUGAGCGGAAAGAGCGUUUCGCUGUUUCUGCUCGGAAAACUGAGUCGAACCUUAUCAUUUAGAGGAAGGAGAAGUCGUAACA
rnacentral:rRNA from 1 species